GAUUCAGGACCCUCAGUGAAGUAAAAUAGAAAUUGUGGGUGAAGAGAAGAAAUUGGUGGAAGUAAUUUCUUCCUGUCCUGACAAGCUGAUAGGAAGGAGAAACUGUGUGGAUGGAAACAAACAGCAGAGUGGGGUCCCGCAGAGAGUUGAGCUUCCUCUGUCACCAGUAUCAGAUGGCCAGAAGAAGGGCAAGUCACUACUCUUUCCCUUCACCAAGGGCAAUGCACCAAGAUGAACCCUGAGGCAGCUGUUGUCUUGGCCUCAACCCUGAGGCUCUGGUCUAAUGUUCCCCAACAGGGAAAGUGAGAAGCCGUGGUAAAUGAAUGACGUUUGAGCUAGGUGUGAAAUGUGAAGGUACAAAAUUAACUGGUAAG